GGAUUAAUGCCGAUGUCACUUCAAAACUCUUUAAUCGUUUAGAUUUUGUUUUCAUCAUCUCUGAAGUCUGAGUCGGCUCUUUAAAGCUUUUUAUCCUGCUGUCAAUCAAAACCCCAGUUUAAUGUCCAAAAAAUGUGGAGCUGCAGAGAUACCUUUCAGUUGCUGCUCUCUCUUUGUUCCAAUGAAAAGCUCUAUAAGGAAAGUGAAUAUUUCCAUGGGAGCAUGAAGUCACAAUUUCAGUCACCCCCCAAAUCACCA